rnacentral:tRNA from 1 species
CGGUCGAUGGAGCACGGCAUGCUCACCCCGGUCUUCGGCACCGCCCAGCCCCUGCACGGGCUGUCCGGCGUGGUCCGGCGCUACGCCUACCGAC